rnacentral:rRNA from 1 species
UAGAGAAUCUUGUGCAAUAAACGAAAGUAUGACACAGAGAGGACACAUUUAAUUGAGCCCGUCAAAUUAAGUGCCAGCCGACGCGGUUAAACUUAAGGGCUGGUCUUUAUAAGUAAAAAGGCGUAAAGGAUGUGUAGGCCAAGAAACAAUCAAAGUAGGUAAAUGGAAUUUUUCUGGAGCGGUAGAAUGCGAGGAUAGAAAAUAGAACCCCUAAGGUAAAAACUAUUUACCACAAGGUAGGCUGAAACAUGAGAGUGUGGGGAGCAAACAGGAUUAGAGACCCUGGUAGUCCACACUGUAAACUUUGAAGAUGAUGCUUAGCAGACCCGAAAGGUAAAAUCUUCCGCCUGAGUAGUACGAUCGCAAGAUUAAAAUUCAAAAACUUUGGCUGUUCACUAUUUCGAUUAGAGGAGCGUGUAGUUUAAUUCGAUGGUCCGCGUGUUACCUUACCCCAACUUGAAUCUGUGACCGGUAUUGCAUGGCCGUCGUAAGUUCGUGUAUUAAGCUAGAAGGGACCCAACCCGGGCAUUUGCCCGGAGGAAGUCAGGUCUUAUGAUCCGAAUGUUGGGGGAUUUUAUGCGCUACAUUUUCUUAUAUAAUGGGAAACCUGAAAGGUGAGCCUCUAAAGUAAGAGUUCGGAAGGUCGCUGUAAGACGACUGGAAGUUGGAUUUAAUAGUAAUCGGAAAGUAGGGCGUUCCGGUGAAUUGGUACAAGUGUUAGCACAAAUUGCCCGUCACCUUUACCUAGAAUGGUUAUUCGGACGUCUUCGGUGAUUACGAAUGCCUACGAGGUAAAGCAAGUCGUAACAUAU